CAAAAGGUCCUUCUAAGGACCGCCAAAAUCCUAUGAAAAGAGAUGG
rfam:Daphnia pulex DAPPTscaffold_130_Cont5325, whole genome shotgun sequence.